GGGGUUGUGGCUCAGUGGUAGAGCUCUUGCUAACACACAUGAGGCACUGGAUUCGAUCCUCAGCACCACA
rnacentral:tRNA from 1 species